rnacentral:rRNA from 2 species
UCGAGCGAACUGAUUACGAAGCUUGCUUCUAUGACGUUAGCGGCGGACGGGUGAGUAACACGUGGGCAACCUGCCUGUAAGACUGGGAUAACUUCGGGAAACCGAAGCUAAUACCGGAUAGGAUCUUCUCCUUCAUGGGAGAUGAUUGAAAGAUGGUUUCGGCUAUCACUUACAGAUGGGCCCGCGGUGCAUUAGCUAGUUGGUGAGGUAACGGCUCACCAAGGCAACGAUGCAUAGCCGACCUGAGAGGGUGAUCGGCCACACUGGGACUGAGACACGGCCCAGACUCCUACGGGAGGCAGCAGUAGGGAAUCUUCCGCAAUGGACGAAAGUCUGACGGAGCAACGCCGCGUGAGUGAUGAAGGCUUUCGGGUCGUAAAACUCUGUUGUUAGGGAAGAACAAGUACGAGAGUAACUGCUCGUACCUUGACGGUACCUAACCAGAAAGCCACGGCUAACUACGUGCCAGGGGGGGGCGGUAAUACGUAGGUGGCAAGCGUUAUCCGGAAUUAUUGGGCGUAAAGCGCGCGCAGGCGGUUUCUUAAGUCUGAUGUGAAAGCCCACGGCUCAACCGUGGAGGGUCAUUGGAAACUGGGGAACUUGAUGCAGAAGAGAAAAGCGGAAUUCCACGUGUAGCGGUGAAAUGCGUAGAGAUGUGGAGGAACACCAGUGGGAAGGCGGCUU